UUGCGGAAGCGGAUGGUCGCUGUUAUUAAUUUAAUAGAGGAAAGUCCGGACUCCUCGGAGGAAGGUGCCAGAUAACGUCUGGCGAUGUUUGGUGAUUUGGUUUCAGACAUCGGACAUUAGGGAAAGUGCAACAGAAAAUAUACCGCCCUUUGGGUAAGCCCUUUGGGUAAGGAUGAAAUGGCGAGGUAAGAGCUCACCGCGCAGUCGGUAACGGCUGUGGCAUGGCAAACCCCACCUGGAGCAAGAUCAAAUAGGAAUAUCUUGUAUGCCCUCCGCAUAGAGCUUAUUUGCCAUUGGAACACAUUAUAUUGUGGAACCGCUGUGUAAAAAAGCAAAGUUAUUCGGGUAGAUCGCUGGAUGUUCGCGGCGACGCGAGCACAAGAUGAAUGGCCAUCGGAAUAUAUAAUAUUUUACAGAAUCCGGCUUAUAGCUUCCGCAAAAAU
rnacentral:RNase_P_RNA from 1 species